rnacentral:lncRNA from 1 species
CACAAUUUUGCAACAAGCUAGGAAAAAAAAUCCUUCUUGACCCCAGAAUGGCAGUCAGAUUUAUCCUUGGAUCAAGCAGUUAUUACCCUACAUUGAAAGAUUAUAUCUUUGAAUAUUCUGUUUUUGCAAGUAUGCAUCUAGUAGCCGUUUGAACAUCUGUAUGGACUCUGAUAAAACCACUUCUUCAGGCAGAGAAUUCCAC